rnacentral:rRNA from 1 species
UACGGGGGGAGCAAGCGUUGUUCGGAUUUACUGGGCGUAAAGGGCGCGUAGGCGGCCACCGCAAGUCGACUGUGAAAUCUCCGAGCUUAACUCGGAAAGGUCAACUGAAACUGUGCGACUAGAGUGCGGAAGGGGCAACUGGAAUUCUUGGUGUAGCGGUGAAAUGCGUAGAUAUCAAGAGGAACACCUGCGGCGAAGGCGGGUUGCUGGGCCGACACUGACGCUGAAGCGCGAAAGCCAGGGGAGCGAACGGG